UACGUAGGGGGCAAGCGUUGUCCGGAUUUACUGGGCGUAAAGAGCGUGUAGGCGGCCAAACAGGUCCGUUGUGAAAACUGGAGGCUUAACCUCCAGACGUCGACGGAAACCGUAUGGCUAGAGUCCGGAAGAGGAGAGUGGAAUUCCUGGUGUAGCGGUGAAAUGCGCAGAUAUCAGGAGGAACACCGAUUGCGAAGGCAGCUCGCUGGGACGUUACUGACGCUGAGACGCGAAAGCGUGGGGAGCAAACAGG
rnacentral:rRNA from 1 species